rnacentral:rRNA from 1 species
AGUCGAGCGGAAACGAUGGUAGCUUGCUACCAGGCGUCGAGCGGCGGACGGGUGAGUAAUACUUAGGAAUCUACCUAGUAGUGGGGGAUAGCUCGGGGAAACUCGAAUUAAUACCGCAUACGACCUACGGGAGAAAGGGGGCAGUUUACUGCUCUCGCUAUUAGAUGAGCCUAAGUCGGAUUAGCUAGAUGGUGGGGUAAAGGCCUACCAUGGCGACGAUCUGUAGCUGGUCUGAGAGGAUGAUCAGCCACACCGGGACUGAGACACGGCCCGGACUCCUACGGGAGGCAGCAGUGGGGAAUAUUGGACAAUGGGGGAAACCCUGAUCCAGCCAUGCCGCGUGUGUGAAGAAGGCCUUUUGGUUGUAAAGCACUUUAAGCAGUGAAGAAGACUCCGUGGUUAAUACCCACGGACGAUGACAUUAGCUGCAGAAUAAGCACCGGCUAACUCUGUGCCAGCAGCCGCGGUAAUACAGAGGGUGCAAGCGUUAAUCGGAAUUACUGGGCGUAAAGGGAGCGUAGGUGGCUCGAUAAGUCAGAUGUGAAAUCCCCGGGCUCAACCUGGGAACUGCAUCUGAUACUGUUGAGCUAGAGUAUGUGAGAGGAAGGUAGAAUUCCAGGUGUAGCGGUGAAAUGCGUAGAGAUCUGGAGGAAUACCGAUGGCGAAGGCAGCCUUCUGGCAUAAUACUGACACUGAGGCUCGAAAGCGUGGGUAGCAAACAGGAUUAGAUACCCUGGUAGUCCACGCCGUAAACGAUGUCUACUAGUCGUUGGGUCCCUUGAGGACUUAGUGACGCAGCUAACGCAAUAAGUAGACCGCCUGGGGAGUACGGCCGCAAGGUUAAAACUCAAAUGAAUUGACGGGGGCCCGCACAAGCGGUGGAGCAUGUGGUUUAAUUCGAUGCAACGCGAAGAACCUUACCUGGUCU